rnacentral:rRNA from 1 species
GCAGAUGGAUGAGCCUGCGUUGGAUUAGCUAGUUGGUGAGGUAAUGGCCUACCAAGGCUACGAUCCAUAGCUGAUUUGAGAGAAUGAUCAGCCACAUUGGGACUGAGACACGGCCCAAACUCCUACGGGAGGCAGCAGUGAGGAAUAUUGGACAAUGGGGGAAACCCUGAUCCAGCAAUGCCAUGUGUGUGAAGAAGGCCUUAGGGUUGUAAAGCACUUUAGUUGGGGAAGAAAGCUUUAAGGUUAAUAAACCUUGAGGAAAGGACGUUACCCCAAAAGAAAUAAAGCACCGGCUAACUCCGUGCUGGCCCAG